rnacentral:rRNA from 1 species
ACCGCUUUCGGGCGGGGAUUAGUGGCGAACGGGUGAGUAACACGUGGGCAAUCUGCCCUGCACUCUGGGACAAGCCCUGGAAACGGGGUCUAAUACCGGAUAUGACUGUCCAUCGCAUGGUGGAUGGUGUAAAGCUCCGGCGGUGCAGGAUGAGCCCGCGGCCUAUCAGCUUGUUGGUGAGGUAGUGGCUCACCAAGGCGACGACGGGUAGCCGGCCUGAGAGGGCGACCGGCCACACUGGGACUGAGACACGGCCCAGACUCCUACGGGAGGCAGCAGUGGGGAAUAUUGCACAAUGGGCGAAAGCCUGAUGCAGCGACGCCGCGUGAGGGAUGACGGCCUUCGGGUUGUAAACCUCUUUCAGCAGGGAAGAAGCGAAAGUGACGGUACCUGCAGAAGAAGCGCCGGCUAACUACGUGCCAGCAGCCGCGGUAAUACGUAGGGCGCAAGCGUUGUCCGGAAUUAUUGGGCGUAAAGAGCUCGUAGGCGGCUUGUCACGUCGGUUGUGAAAGCCCGGGGCUUAACCCCGGGUCUGCAGUCGAUACGGGCA